AAAAUUUUAAGUUAAACUAAACUAUAAGCCUUCAAAGUUUAAUAUAUAUAUUAUAAUAAUAUAUAAAUUUUA
rnacentral:tRNA from 1 species